rnacentral:rRNA from 1 species
AGAUUGAACGCUGGCGGCGUGCCUAACACAUGCAAGUCGAGCGGUAACAGGUGUAGCAAUACAUGCUGACGAGCGGCGAACGGGUGAGUAAUGCUUUGGAAUCUUCCCAGUAGUGGGGAAUAACCAGUCGAAAGAUUGGCUAAUACCGCAUACGUCUGUAAAGGGAAAGCGGGGGCUCGUAAGACCUCGCGCUAUUGGAUGAGCCAAAGUCGGAUUAGCUAGUUGGUGGGGUAAUGGCCUACCAAGGCGACAAUCCGUAGCUGGUCUGAGAGGACGACCAGCCACACCGGAACUGAGACACGGUCCGGACUCCUACGGGAGGCAGCAGUGGGGAAUAUUGGACAAUGGGGGAAACCCUGAUCCAGCGACGCCGCGUGUGUGAAGAAGGCCUGCGGGUUGUAAAGCACUUUUAGUGGGGACAAAAAGCUACGGACUAACACUCUGUGGUCUUGAUUUAACCCAAAGAAAAGCACCGGCUAACUCUGUGCCAGCAGCCGCGGUAA